UGUGCUUAAUCGAUCUGUAUUGCUAGUGCCCCCUAGUGACACUGGUGGGGGUUUCCCUGCAAAUCCCAAUGUGAAGCCCUCUGAAAUAUUACAGAGAUCAUUGGAUCCUAUUUGAACCCUACAGCAGUGGUCUCCAACCUGUGGCUCUUUAGCUGUUGUGAAACUACAGCUCCCAGCAUGCCAAAACAACCGUUGGUUGUUAGGGGCAUGCUGGGAGUUGUAGUUCUGUACCCGUUAUAGACCAUAUGGCCCAUAGCAUCCUUCUGCACAGUGUAUCAGGUGGUCGCAUAGGAGCCCUCGGCGCUGGAGUAACGGGGCCCCUAGUAACCGGUGCCAUGGUAACGACGCUGCGGCCAGCCUCGGGGCUGAGGACACCAGUGCGCAGUCUGCAGGUUAGCAAGAAGAGAGGAGCAAGUGGCAGAUGGAAAUGCAUUAUAAGCAAGAAAAACAAUUGCUGGAUCCUGUGUGUGGCAUAAUUCACAUGGCAAUGGGCGGCUGACAGCUUUUAAACUUGUCAAAACGACGAACAAGCGGUGACAUUAUUUUGGGGUAUUUUUCCAUCCCUCUGCUGUUUAGAAAUGCUGAUUUUGUCACUCUAUGCCUACUAAGUAAAGUGCCCUUUUACACAUGCCAACUGCUGCAUGAUAACAAAUGCCCAUCUGAUCGGUGCCCAUUUAAGGAGCCUAAGUCUCACAGACGUGUCUCACAACCAAAAUCAGCCCAACAGAUCCUGGUAACUUGCAAUGAGGUUGAUCAGGUAUUGUUGUGGUGUCCAUUUUUCUACAGGAAUAGCGCUGCAUGCUGGGCUAUUCUUCAUUUAUAAAAUAAUUGUAUCUAUGAAGGAGGCCCCAAACAGAUCCUUCAAUGCAGAUGUGAACAGAACACUUUCUGUGCAAAUCGUUUUUUAAUCUUUGUUCUCUGCUCCAUCCAUGGUUGGCUAAAUAUUAAUACACAGUGUACUAAGAUAACAUUAGAAUUACUUAUUUACUUUUCAACUAAAACUUGUGGUGGAAUGUGUUCUUGGAAUGACAUUUGUAUUCUGUGUGUACAUUAUACACUGAAAUAAUAAUGUCACUGUACUCUUUUUGUAUUCUUCAUCAUGAUUAUUUAUGGUCAUUUGUGACCAUAAAUAUCAUAGGUUCAGCUAAAUUAGCUUAAUUAGCUAAAUUAGCUCUGCGCAGUGUCGGACUUAGGUACCCAUCAGUAGAAUUGUUUCUGGUGCCUACACCCCAGUUACUGUGCAUUAAAGUAUUACCUAGUCACUUUUAGGUCACAUGUACAUAAGCGCUAGCUCUAAGGCUAGGUUCACACUAUGGAAUUUCUGCCUGCAAUUCCUCUUUGAAAUUGCAGGCAGAAAUUCCGCUUACUAAAAUGUAUAGUAUAGUGAAUGGGUUUUCUAUUCACAAAUUUACACUUCGGAAUUUGUGAAGCGGAAUUUGUAAAUGGAAAACCUGCUUGAAAAUUUACGACUGAAGAAUGGCGUUGCUCAUUCUUCAGGCGGAAAUACUCGCGGAACACAUUGCAGUCUAUUGGAGACUGCAGUGUCCGUGCGGUCCUAGCGCCGACUGAUUCAGUCAGCGCUGUCCGCUCUCUGAAUCUCCGGGCAAAAAUGUUCUGCCUGGAGAUUCCGCAGUGUGAACCUAGCCUUACUGUGUUGACUGAAUGUGCGCAGUGGCAAAAACCAUGAUGUAAUAGUCAUGGUGUACGUACUCUCUAAUGCACUUGCUGGUUCUGUUAUGUUAAAGUGUGGUAAGGUAAUAACCCCGUAGGCUAGGUUCACACUAAAAAAUACAGAACUUCCAAGCAUAAUUCCACAAUUAUGCUCAGAAUUUCUAGUUCAACAGACUUUCAUUGCUAUCAAUGGGGUUUCGCUGUGCAGUGCUUGAAUUCCACAAUGGAAACAAUUAGACUAGGUUCACACUACGGAAUUUCCGCCUGCAAUUCCGCUUUGAAAUUGCAGGCAGAAAUUCUGCUUGCUAAAAUGUAUAGUGUAGUGAAUGGGUUUCAGUUCACAAAUUCACACUUUGGAAUUUGUGAACGCGAAAUCUGCUUUAAAAUUUCCAACUGAAGAAUGGCGUUGCUCAUUCUUCAGGCGGAAAUACUUGCAGUGUCCGCGCGGUCCUAGCGCCAACUGAUUCAGUCAGCACUGGCUGCCCUCGGAAUCUCCGGGUGGAAAUUUUCUGCUUGGAGAUUCCGCAGUGUGAAUCUAGCCUAAGGGUCUAUUCACAUGGCAGAAUUCCGGCUUGUGGAAUUCCGCAUCAAAUUAGCGGAAUUCCGCAAGCGGAAAUUCAGAAGUGUGAAUGGGAGUGCGAAAUCCCAUAGAAGUCUAUGGGCUUUAAUUUGAGGCAGAAUUCUGCCAUGUAACUAGUUUAAAUAAGCUUUAGAUACGGUAAUCAGUCAAGAUGAAUACUGCUCAUUCUUUCGGCAGAAUCCUAGUGAGUGUCCAUGUUUCUGUUAAAUUCAGCCCGGCCGCAGAUAUAAUAAAAAAUGCUAUCUGCCAAAAUUGGCAUUUAAUUUCAAGAGACCCUGCCUUUGGGGAUAUGCGACUAAAUAAACCCCUGAUAACAUUCAAAAGAACAAAGAAUUUAAAAGAUGAGUUAGUACAGAGUAAGUUUGUGGAAAAAGAUGCUUAUAAAACUUGGUUGGAAUAAGGUACUCUAGUAGGAAACUUCAAAUGCGGUCGUUGUAAGUGGUGUCCCUAUUUUGCUCCUAGUAAAUUCAUACAAAUAGGAGGACACACAAAAAACAUAACUGAAUUAAUUUGUUGUAGGACACCGUUCAAAGUGUAUGCGUUAAUUUGCACCUGCGGUAAAUACCCGGUUUCGUGAGCACGUCUGGUCAGUGAAGUCAAAGAAAGGCUCACCCAGACUCAUAGAACAUGUUAACACUGUACACAACGGUGACACAAGCACUCUCAAAUUCAUGGAAAUUAAGCGGUUAAUAUGUCAAGCAGGAGCAGAUAAUGAAAAAAUUCUAAGACAAAUAGAAGCCCGUUGGAUACUAAAAACCGGUGCUCAAGAAUGUUCUGGUCUAAAUGACCGGAUUUAGGGGUAUUUCUCUAAACUUUGCCUGUUUCUUGGUUUUAAACUAUGUGUUUUGUAUUUUUCACUUUUUAACUAAGUGUUUGUAAUCCCCGCCCUAGUGCUUGCGUCAUCCAGGUGAGGCGUUUAAAUGGAUACGCGAGCACAGGAUGGGGAGGGUCUGUUGAAGCUCAGUCGAGCAAAACAAUUGUAACCUGUGAACACACAAGCUGGCGUCUGCACCUUGCUAGGGGAACCAUGCCGUUUUUAUAACCUGCACUUUUUUGGAAUAAAGGAAGAAAAUUGAAGCGUUCGGUGAGUGCCAUUCCUGCUUUCUAUCUACUUGAAGUUCAUUACAUGUUUCUGUUAAAGCUAGGCACAACAGAGGGCCCACCCUAGCAUAUGGGCCCACCAAGGGAUUCUCCUGUGGGCCAGGCUAAGCCUGUCUACACAGAUCAUUCAUAACAUUAAGGGUCCAUUCACACUACAGAAUUUCCAAGUAGAAUUCCACUCAGAAAUUCAGCUGCAUGAAGAAAACAUUGGUGUGAAUACAUUUUCCUUUUACCCAUUCCCACUGCAGAAUUCUCCUUUGCAGAAAUUCUGUAGUUUGUUCAUUCAUUGAAGUCUUGAUGCCAGAUUCCACAGGACACCUUCAGUGGUCUUGUUGUCAAUGCCUUAACCCCUUAAUGACCACGGAUAUUUAUUUACGCCCAUGGCCGGCUCCCGAUCUGUGAAGCACGCUCAGAAGCUGAACGCGCUUCGUAUCUGCGGGGUCCCGGUUGCUAUCAACAACCGGGACCCGCGGCUAAUACCGGACAUUGCCGAUCGGGCUGAUGUCUGGUAUUAACCUUUUAGACGCCCCGAUCAAAGUUGAUUGCGACAUCUAAAACGGGAGAAUAUACUGCUGGUUAUCUCAGCGGAGCUGUUCAGGAACCCGCGGUGAAAUUGCGGCUGAGAGGACAGCGGGAAGUGUCUUACCUUCUUCCCGGCUGUCCGAUCGGCGUUUGAUUCCUCCAAGCCAGAAAUCCAGGCUUGAGCAAUCAAGUGCAGAAAACACUGAUCAAUGCAUUCCUAUGGCAGUGCCAAAUAAACAGUGCCAAUCAGUAUAUGUAGUGUUACAGCCCCUAGAGGGAGCUAUAACACUGCAUGAAAAAAGUUAAAAAAAUAAAUAAAUGUGAUUUAACCCCUUCCCUAAUAAAAAUCAGAUUCACCCACCCUUUUCCCCAUUAAAAAAAAGUGUGUAAAUAAAAAUAAAAACAAAGAUAUGUGGUAUCUCCGCAUGAGAAAAUGUCCAAACCAUA